AAAUUGCAAUUCGGUUAAUCUUGAACUCCCUAAUAAGCUUUCAUAUGACGGUGACGUUGUUGACGGUGACGGCCACUACCUCCGUCAUUCUCUCUUCAGUUCAGCCGUCUGCCGUUCCCUUUGUCCAAAGCUAUUUCACUCGUUCAUUCUCUCUUCAGUUCAAUUAGUUUUCCGGAACAGAACAAAAGAUGGGUUUUCAUGAGGUUGAAGAACUGAGAAGGAAAAGGGAUUAAACCCAACAGACCCACAAAAAAUCGGAACUGAACCGAUUCGAGUUUUUCCCAAUUCGACUAAGAAACCUAGUUCCAGUAAUCUCCCUCUCCCCUCUUAAUGGGUUUGAGUUCUUUCUGCAAUGAAGUUGAGAUUGAUGUGAAGUGUGUUAGAUUAUGAAUUUUAGAAGAGUUACAUCUUAGAUUUUAUUGUACAACUGGCCAGCUUAAUGAAGGAGACCCAUAUGAAAUACUUAUUUGUCUGCAGGGUAGGGUUUUCUCAAUUUCACUGGAGAGAUAGAUAUGAUUAAGCCGUGUAAUUAAUCAUGCUUUUGCUACAACGUGUUGCUAGAGUUGAAUCUACAACAAAAGGUCGGAUUGUUGUUUCUCCAUUUAAGGACAUGUUCAAUGAAGCUCUUGUAUCUGCCUCAACUUGUCCCAAUUUACAUUAUGUUUCAUCUGUUGCUGGAACUAGUGGUAAUGGCAACAUGGAUAUUCCUAUGUUUUUCCCUUGGAUUUGCUACAAGCUUGACAGCAGCAGCAGAUGCAGAUGGGAUGUACACUAAGGAAUUAGUGUUGUCCUUUAAGGAGUGGUUCAAAUCUGGAAGCAACCCUUUGUAUUGAUCAAAUCUUCCAAAUCCUUCGAGUGGCUAGAGAUGACCAAGAAAUUCCAUAUCGUCCUUUCACUGCCGAUCUUGCUCUUUCUAGGUUUGACCUUCGCCUCAAUGAGUCAUUUGUCUUAGAUGUCCUCCAUUUUGGCUCCAAGGAUGUUCUGUCUUGCCUCAAGCUCUUUGACUUGGUUGGGGCUGGCUGUUCUCUCUUUCUUCUUUGAAUACAAGUCUUUGUUUCUUAUAAAAAGAAAAGAAAUACAAAGCUGGGAUUGUGGUAGUUGCACUUGAUUUAUACAACUCCAGACAAGAACUAUUGGGAGGAAAAUUUCCAAGGUGGUGGUUUUUGGUCUAUGCAAACCCAAUAAGGUUGAUCUUGCACUUGAGUGUUUGGGGACAUGAGGGAUAAUGGGUGCAAUACCAUUAUCGAAUGCUACGAAGAACUGGAACUGGCGAAGCAUUUGUCAAAACGAAAGAUAUGAUUUGGUAGUAAAUCUUAUCAUUGGGCCAAGUCGGCCCGAAGUCAAGCCCUUUGGGUCUCAAGCACAGUUUGGGCCGAGCUUGGGCCAACCCAAUCUCUUAUCCAUAAGCCCAUAGCCCGUUUGCAACCUUUCUCAUUCGUCAAUUUUUUCCACGUGGGACAAGAAUAGAGUGAUUUUUUUAAUGA